UUGUCCCCUGCUCACCACGGGGAAGUGGAAUGAGGCCUACCAAACUUUUUCCUUGACCGUACCCGUAGUUCUUUAGCCUCUGUCUUUCGGACAUCUGCCACACGGUUAUGCUCGUUCUGUGUUUUGACAAUAGAAUCCGUGGUGACUCUGGUUUAACAUGAUUUUAUGGUACAUUAGUAAGAUAUGUUUUUUUAUGUUUCACCUUCUGAUAUGUAUGGCCCUCGAUGAUUAAAGAAUUGACUCCUCGGCUCGUUUCAGUGUGCAAUAUGUCCAUCAUGUUACAACAAAGUUCCAGAACAAUAUGAAUCAAAAUUAACACAUAAAUGAACAAAAUUUAUAACCAGAUUUUACCAAUGGUAUAGUACAGUACAUGUACAAUUAUUAACUUACCUGUAAAUCUAAUUAGGAGCAAAUAUAAAAUCGGCGCAAAUGAAAAAAUGAAAUCGGCGCAAAUGAAAGAAUGAAUAUUUUCAAAAUCGGCGCAAAUGUCAUACGCCCGUUUAGAAACAUUGUC
rnacentral:lncRNA from 1 species